CACACACAUAUACAUAUUAAUUUACAAGCAUCUCAUAUCAAAGUCCCAUCCCUCUUACAAAACUUGCAAAGUUAAAAGCGAGGAAAACAUAAAUACUAAAACAAUACAGAAAUAUCGUCUAACAGAAAAGAAAUAAGCUCUUCUGAACUUCGUCAUCCGUAACCUGAAAAAGAAAAGACCUGGUGUAUAUUCACGGGGGCGAGCUCAUCUGGAACUUUCAUAGUGUCCGG